AGGAAUAUGCCUUAAAGAGGGGGACAACUUGGGGAAACUCAAGCUAAUACCGCAUAUGCUCUGAGGAGUAAAGCUGGGGACCUGCGAGGGCCUGGCGCUUUAAGAUUAGCCUGCGUCCGAUUAGCUAGUUGGUAGGGUAAAGGCCUACCAAGGCGACGAUCGGUAGCUGGUCUGAGAGGAUGACCAGCCACACUGGAACUGAGACACGGUCCAGACUCCUACGGGAGGCAGCAGUGGGGAAUAUUGGACAAUGGGGGGAACCCUGAUCCAGCAAUGCCGCGUGUGUGAAGAAGGCCUGAGGGUUGUAAAGCACUUUCAGUGGGGAGGAGGGUUGACUGGUUAAGAGCUGGUUGAUUGGACGUUACCCACAGAAGAAGCACCGGCUAACUCCGUGCCAGCAGCCGCGGUAAUACGGAGGGUGCGAGCGUUAAUCGGAAUUACUGGGCGUAAAGGGUGCGUAGGUGGUUUGGUAAGUUAUCUGUGAAAUUCCUGGGCUUAACCUGGGCUGGUCAGAUAAAACUGCGAGACUCGAGUAUGGGAGAGGGUAGUGGAAUUUCCGGU
rnacentral:rRNA from 1 species